rnacentral:rRNA from 1 species
AACGAACGCUGGCGGCAUGCCUAACACAUGCAAGUCGAACGAGACCUUCGGGUCUAGUGGCGCACGGGUGCGUAACGCGUGGGAACCUGCCCUUAGGUUCGGCAUAACUCCCCGAAAGGGGUGCUAAUACCGGAUCAUGUCUUCGGACCAAAGAUUUAUCGCCUUUGGAUGGGCCCGCGUUGGAUUAGCUAGUUGGUAGGGUAAAAGCCUACCAAGGCGACGAUCCAUAGCUGGUCUGAGAGGAUGAUCAGCCACACUGGGACUGAGACACGGCCCAGACUCCUACGGGAGGCAGCAGUGGGGAAUAUUGGACAAUGGGCGAAAGCCUGAUCCAGCAAUGCCGCGUGAGUGAUGAAGGCCUUAGGGUUGUAAAGCGCUUUUACCCGGGAUGAUAAUGACAGUACCGGGAGAAUAAGCUCCGGCUAACUCCGUG